CUGCCAGCAGCCGCGGUAAUACGUAGGUCCCGAGCGUUGUCCGGAUUUAUUGGGCGUAAAGCGAGCGCAGGCGGUUAGAUAAGUCUGAAGUUAAAGGCUGUGGCUUAACCAUAGUACGCUUUGGAAACUGUUUAACUUGAGUGCAAGAGGGGAGAGUGGAAUUCCAUGUGUAGCGGUGAAAUGCAUAGAUAUAUGGAGGAACACCGGUGGCGAAAGCGGCUCUCUGGCUUGUAACUGACGCUGUGGCUCGACAGUGUGAAGAGCAAACUGGAUCGAUCACCAUGGUAGUCC
rnacentral:rRNA from 1 species